rnacentral:rRNA from 1 species
GACGAACGCUGGCGGCGUGCUUAACACAUGCAAGUCGAACGGAAAGGCCCUGCUUUUGUGGGGUGCUAGAGUGGCGAACGGGUGAGUAACACGUGAGUAACCCGCCUUUGACUUUGGGAUAACUUCAGGAAACUGGGGAUAAUACCGGAUAGGAGCUCCUGAUGCAGGGUGGGGGUUGGAAAGUUUCGGCGGAUGGGGAUGGACUCGCGGCUUAUCAGGUUGUUGGUGGGGUAGUGGUUUACCAAGGCCUUGAGGGGUCGGCGGGCUGAGAGGGUGAGCGGCCACAUUGGGACUGUGAUGCGGCCCAGACUCCGGCGGGAAGCAGCAGUGGGGAAUGUUGCACGAUGGGCGGAAGCCUGAUGCAGCAACGCCGCGUGCGGGAUGGCGGCCUUCGUGUUGUAAACCGCUUUCGCCUGUGACGAAGCGUGAGUGACGGUAAUGGGUAAAGAAGCACCGGCUAACUACGUG